GAUGAACGCUGACAGAAUGCUUAACACAUGCAAGUCAACUUGAAUUUGGGUUUUUAACUUAGAUUUGGGUGGCGGACGGGUGAGUAACGCGUAAAGAACUUGCCUCACAGUUAGGGACAACAUUUAGAAAUGAAUGCUAAUACCUGAUAUUAUGAUUUUAAGGCAUCUUAGAAUUAUGAAAGCUAUAAGCACUGUGAGAGAGCUUUGCGUCCCAUUAGCUAGUUGGAGAGGUAACAGCUCACCAAGGCGAUGAUGGGUAGCCGGCCUGAGAGGGUGAACGGCCACAAGGGGACUGAGACACGGCCCUUACUCCUACGGGAGGCAGCAGUGGGGAAUAUUGGACAAUGGACCGAGAGUCUGAUCCAGCAAUUCUGUGUGCACGAUGAAGUUUUUCGGAAUGUAAAGUGCUUUCAGUUGGGAAGAAAAAAAUGACGGUACCAACAGAAGAAGUGACGGCUAAAUACGUGCCAGCAGCCGCGGUAAUACGUAUGUCACGAGCGUUAUCCGGAUUUAUUGGGCGUAAAGCGCGUCUAGGUGGUUAUGUAAGUCUGAUGUGAAAAUGCAGGGCUCAACUCUGUAUUGCGUUGGAAACUGUAUAACUAGAGUACUGGAAAGGUAAGCGGAACUACAAGUGUAGAGGUGAAAUUCGUAGAUAUUUGUAGGAAUGCCGAUGGGGAAGCCAGCUUACUGGACAGAUACUGACUCUGAAGCGCGAAAGCGUGGGUAGCAAACAGGAUUAUAUACCCUGUGUAGUUCCAAGGCGAAUUGCACAGUGGGAUAUCAAGCUUAUCGAUAUCUGUGACCUGAUGGGGGGGCCCUGUAAAAAAGAUUUUUGUUCCUUUAUGGAGGGUGUAUUUAGCUUGUGGUUGUUCUGUGUCAUGUGUACUGAUAUGCACGUGCUGACUUGCUGAUGUGUGUCUGCUUAAUGCUGAUAGUUGUGAUGUACUGUCUGUGUGUUGUGUUCUGUUAGCUGUGUCGCUGCCAUGCUGUGUGGCUGCUGGUGUUAUUGUGAGUGUUUGAUGUAUGUUGGUGUGCUGUUGGUGUGGUAGUGCCUGUGAUGGUGUAUGAUAUGUGCUGUUGCUGGUGUCUGUGUGUAGUGUAUAGUCAUCUAGUAGUUGUCAUCUGUCUGGAUG
rnacentral:rRNA from 1 species